UGGUUCCCGCAUCGAUGAAGAACGCAGCGAAACGCGAUAGUUAAUGUGAAUUGCAGAAUUCAGUGAAUCAUCGAGUCUUUGAACGCACAUUGCGCCUUUUGGUAUUCCGAGAGGCACGCCUGUCUGAGCGUCAGCAAACUCUUCGGCCAAUAAAUUUUUAUUGCCGGUGUUGGCGGGGGUCCUUUAGGGGCCCCCCGCUUAAACCUGACGCGGGGCGAACCGGAUUCAGCGAUAAUAGUAACAAUUCUUUUGUUGAGGCAUCCGGCUGGCACCCAAUCAAAAAAUAGGCCUAAAAAACCUUGACUUUUGACCUCAGAUCAGACGAGGAUACCCGCUGA
rnacentral:misc_RNA from 1 species